rnacentral:lncRNA from 1 species
ACUGGUGAGUCUCGUUGAACAGGGCCUUUGUUCUCUGUCGGUUGGCUUGUUUGCAUUUGCUAGUCUCGGUUAUUAUAAUUAAAGGGUGCAUUGCACUGCUGAUAAGUGUGACCAGACUUCUUACAAUUUCCACAUAUUGGAGCAUAGUCAUCACUGGCCCUUGGAUUAGGACAUUCAUUGGCAUAAUGACCAAUUUUUUUGCAAC